GAUGAACGCUGGCGGCGUGCCUAAUACAUGCAAGUCGAGCGAACGGACGAGAAGCUUGCUUCUCUGAUGUUAGCGGCGGACGGGUGAGUAACACGUGGAUAACCUACCUAUAAGACUGGGAUAACUUCGGGAAACCGUAGCUAAUACCGGAUAAUAUUUUGAACCGCAUGGUUCAAAAGUGAAAGACGGUCUUGCUGUCACUUAUAGAUGGAUCCGCCCUGCAUUAGCUAGUUGGUAAGGUAACGGCUUACCAAGGCAACGAUGCAUAGCCGACCUGAGAGGGUGAUCGGCCACACUGGAACUGAGACACGGUCCAGACUCCUACGGGAGGCAGCAGUAGGGAAUCUUCCGCAAUGGGCGAAAGCCUGACGGAGCAACGCCGCGUGAGUGAUGAAGGUCUUCGGAUCGUAAAACUCUGUUAUUAGGGAAGAACAUAUGUGUAAGUAACUGUGCACAUCUUGACGGUACCUAAUCAGAAAGCCACGGCUAACUACGUG
rnacentral:rRNA from 1 species